GAUGAACGCUGGCGGCGUGCUUAACACAUGCAAGUCGAACGAACCUUCGGGUUAGUGGCGGACUGGUGAGUAACGCGUGAGAAUCUGCCCUCAGGAGGGGGACAACAGCUGGAAACGGCUGCUAAUACCCCAUAUGCCGCGAGGUGAAAUGAAUUUCGCCUGAGGAUGAGCUCGCGUCUGAUUAGCUAGUUGGUGUAGGUAAUGGCUCACCAAGGCAUCGAUCAGUAGCUGGUCUGAGAGGAUGAUCAGCCACACUGGGACUGAGACACGGCCCAGACUCCUACGGGAGGCAGCAGUGGGGAAUUUUCCGCAAUGGGCGAAAGCCUGACGGAGCAACGCCGCGUGAGGGAUGAAGGCCUCUGGGCUGUAAACCUCUUUUAUCAAGGAAGAAGAUCUGACGGUACUUGAUGAAUAAGCCACGGCUAAUUCCGUG
rnacentral:rRNA from 1 species